UUGGAUUCAGAGGUGGGGUUGUGGGUCGGGUGUGGCCCGGCAGCUUGUCUCCGUGUGCCGCUCCCAAUCAACCCGCGUUUGCCCCAGCCUCCUAUCGCACGGAAACGGAGUCCUGCUGGGGUCUCCUUAACUGGGGGUUCCAGCGCUUCCGCGCACAACGUGCGCUUACGGACCGUCCGUGGACGUUACUGUGAACAAAACAGCGUGUUCAAAGCAAGUGGCUUGCCUGCCCUGCAUGUUAAAGCAUGGAAUAACAAGGCAUCGACCACUCGGCGGUGCUUUUGUUGGUCUUUCCCUCCCGGUGGGAAUGCGCAGGCGUGCACACUGCCGGCCUUCUGGCCGGUCUGGGUGCCGUCUCUUCGAGAUCAAUAGGGGCAAACGGGGAGAUACCUAUUGUGGGGAGAGCGGUGAAAUGCGAUGACCCCCAUAAGAGGAACUUCAGCGAAAGCAGUUCUCAAGACUGCCUUCGUUAAUCAAGAACGAGACUGUGGGGAUCAAAGAUGAUCAGAUACCGUCGUAGUCCACUAGCGUAAACGAUGCCGACUCAUCAUUGGGG
rnacentral:rRNA from 1 species